rnacentral:rRNA from 1 species
UACGUAGGCAGCGAGCGUUGUUCGGAAUUAUUGGGCGUAAAGGGCGCGUAGGCGGUGCGGUAAGUCACCUGUGAAAUCUCCUGGCUCAACUGGGAGGCUUGAGGCCGGUAGAGGUGGGUGGAACUCCUGGUGGAGUGGUGAAAUGCGUAGAGAUCAGGAAGAACACCCGUGGCGAAGGCGGCCCACUGGGCCGGUGCUGACGCUGAGGCGCGAAGGCGUGGGGAGCGAACGGG